UGGGGAAUAUUGCGCAAUGGACGAAAGUCUGACGCAGCGACGCCGCGUGAGGGAUGAAGGUCUUCGGAUCGUAAACCUCUGUCAGGAGGGAAGAAAGCGCAUGGCGCCAAUCAGCCAUGCGUUGACGGUACCUCCAGAGGAAGCGCCGGCCAACUCCGUGCCAGCAGCCGCGGUAAUACGGAGGGCGCGAGCGUUAAUCGGAAUUACUGGGCGUAAAGCGCGCGUAGGCUGUGGAGUAAGUCAGGGGUGGAAGCCCGCGGCUCAACCGCGGAAUUGCCUUUGAUACUGCUUUACUUGAAUCCGGGAGAGGGUGGCGGAAUUCCAGGUGUAGGAGUGAAAUCCGUAGAUAUCUGGAGGAACACCGGUGGCGAAGGCGGCCACCUGGACCGGUAUUGACGCUGAGGCGCGAAAGCGUGGGGAGCAAACAGG
rnacentral:rRNA from 1 species